rnacentral:rRNA from 1 species
AUUGAACGCUGGCGGCAGGCCUAACACAUGCAAGUCGAGCGGAGCGGCGGACGGGUGAGUAAUGCCUAGGAAUCUGCCUGGUCGUGGGGGAUAACGUCCGGAAACGGGCGCUAAUACCGCAUAAUAUCAGAUGAGCCUAGGUCGGAUUAGCUAGUUGGGGGGGUAAAGGCUUACCAGGGCGACGAUCCGUAACUGGUCUGAGAGGAUGAUCAGUCACACUGGAACUGAGACACGGUCCAGACGCCUACGGGAGGCAGCAGGGGGGAAUAGUGGACAAUGGGCGAAAGCCUGAUACAGCCAUGCCGCGUGUGUGAAGAAGGUCUUCGGAUUGUAAAGCACUUUAAGUUGGGAGGCGUUACCAGCAGAAUAAGCACCGGCUAACUACGUGCCAGCAGCCGCGGUAAUUC